GUGGGGAAUCUUGCGCAAUGGGCGAAAGCCUGACGCAGCCAUGCCGCGUGAAUGAUGAAGGUCUUAGGAUUGUAAAAUUCUUUCACCGGGGACGAUAAUGACGGUACCCGGAGAAGAAGCCCCGGCUAACUUCGUGCCAGCAGCCGCGGUAAUACGAAGGGGGCUAGCGUUGCUCGGAAUUACUGGGCGUAAAGGGCGCGUAGGCGGACAGUUUAGUCAGAGGUGAAAGCUCAGGGCUCAACCUUGGAAUUGCCUUUGAUACUGGCUGUCUUGAGUACGGGAGAGGUGAGUGGAAAUCCGAGUGUAGAGGUGAAAUUCGUAGAUAUUCGGAAGAACACCAGUGGCGAAGGCGACUCACUGGCCCGUUACUGACGCUGAGGCGCGAAAGCGUGGGGAGCAAACAGGAUUAGAAACCCGGGUAGUCC
rnacentral:rRNA from 1 species